GACGAACGCUGGCGGCGUGCCUAAUACAUGCAAGUUGAGCGCUGAAGGUUGGUACUUGUACCAACUGGAUGAGCAGCGAACGGGUGAGUAACGCGUGGGUAAUCUGCCUUUGAGCGGGGGACAACAUUUGGAAACGAAUGCUAAUACCGCAUAAAAACUUUAAACACAAGUUUUAAGUUUGAAAGAUGCAAUUGCAUCACUCAAAGAUGAUCCCGCGUUGUAUUAGCUAGUUGGUUAGGUAAAGGCUCACCAAGGCGAUGAUACAUAGCCGACCUGAGAGGGUGAACGGCCAAAUUGGGAACGAGACACGGCCCAAAAUCCUACGGGAGGCAGCAGGAGGGAAACUUUGGAAAUGGACGAAAGUCUGAACGAGGAACGCCGCGUGAGGGAAGAAGGUUUUCGGAUCGUAAAACUCCGUUGGUAGAGAAGAACGUUGGUGAGAGUGGAAAGCUCAUCAAGUGACGGUAACUACCCAGAAAGCGACGGCUAACUACGUG
rnacentral:rRNA from 1 species